UCAGUGUGUGUGAUUUUGUACACUGUAGCUGCAGGUACACUGUGUUGCAUUGAGAGGGGAGAAAACUUGUAUGGUGACAUGAUUCACCUUCAGAGUGCU